GAUGAACGCUGGCGGCGUGCCUAAUACAUGCAAGUCGAGCGAACAGACGAGGAGCUUGCUCCUCUGACGUUAGCGGCGGACGGGUGAGUAACACGUGGAUAACCUACCUAUAAGACUGGGAUAACUUCGGGAAACCGGAGCUAAUACCGGAUAAUAUAUUGAACCGCAUGGUUCAAUAGUGAAAGCCGGUUUUGCUGUCACUUAUAGAUGGAUCCGCGCCGCAUUAGCUAGUUGGUAAGGUAACGGCUUACCAAGGCAACGAUGCGUAGCCGACCCGAGAGGGUGAUCGGCCACACUGGAACUGAGACACGGUCCAGACUCCUACGGGAGGCAGCAGUAGGGAAUCUUCCGCAAUGGGCGAAAGCCUGACGGAGCAACGCCGCGUGAGUGAUGAAGGUCUUCGGAUCGUAAAACUCUGUUAUUAGGGAAGAACAAAUGUGUAAGUAACUAUGCACGUCUUGACGGUACCUAAUCAGAAAGCCACGGCUAACUACGUG
rnacentral:rRNA from 1 species